rfam:Glycine soja cultivar W05 scaffold348_9, whole genome shotgun sequence.
GAGUGCCACAUCAUCAUGCAUUGUCACAGACACCUCAUUGCCACAUCAUCACCUUCAAUGACGUGGCACUGACAUGUCAGUGAUUGGAUAUGAUGAUGUGACACUCCAU